CUCACUCAUAGUCUCUGUUUGUCCAGCAAAGUCCUGUGAUCUAGGGCUCUAGGUGCUACCCCGUUCUGCUGGAUACCCAAGCUCCUUUGUCACACAGGCUGAGGCAGGGACCUGCUUAAAUCCUAACUCCCUUAGGGUCAUAUGCAUGUGCCAUGGCACGGUCACCUUGAAGGGUGCAGCUGCAGCUGCUGUCACCACCUGCCUUUGGCAUUAAAGAGUGCUGGUCUGCAAAGGGCAGAGCUAUUCUGACCUCGCAGCUGCUUGGGCUGGUGGCAAUGCCUCGACCCAACACCAGUUCAGGUAAGAAGCUCACAGGAUCACCACGCUCCUAUCUCCUACUGACACUGGGCAGCUGGGCAGAAGACUUCUGGAUGGGCACACAUGGGAGCCUGACUCUGCCCUAGAAGGUAGUAGACCACGGAGCAGAAUGGAGUGCCUGGGAGCCUAAUUAGGUCAUGCACUGAGAAUGUGGGAAAUGUAGCCAAAGAGGAUCUUCAGUUCCUUGACAAAUGCUCUACUGGGACACUGUUGUUACUGCUACAUAAAAAGAGCUGAACAUCUGCACUAGUGUCUUUCUGCAGAAGACUAAGUUUGGAUGCCAAGUGGAAGCAGGGGUCCAUAAUUAGCAAGCAUGCUGCUGUUCUGUCUCCUGGGAAUGCAGACAUUGAUCGUCAGCCUAGCACCUUGCCACGAAUGCAAGAGGGGAGGCCUUCACCCAGGUGUUCCCUGACUUCCAAAUGCUGAACAGCCUCAUCUUCCUGUGCUGUCUUUUUGAGAUGUACGGUGAUACUCACAGGUUGUAUUGGGGGUGUGUUAUGAUCUUACUUUAAGCCAAAAAAAAUAAAUGGAUGACUUUUUGCAAACAAAAAGGAAGGUGAUAAUUUUUCUAAAAGACAGCAUCAAGCAAUCAAAAAAUUCAGUUCAGUUUUUAUCUCUUAAUGCCGGAAAGCAGGCAAGGAUCCAUUUGGGUCAAAUGUAUGAGCUUCCUGACUGGCACAACAAACAGAAAUAUUCAGUGGAUUUGUAAUUUACCCUGGAAACUGACUGGUCUGAUUGAAAAUAAUGAUGUCUGACUGUGCAGGGUCAGUGAGUUGCCCUUCGUUAAUGCACAGCUGCACAGCUAAGCAAGAUCUACCAUACACAGAGGCUGGAAAACCAAUUAGCUAUUCUAAGAAGCACUGGCAGAUAAAAUAUCCCUAUUAAUCACACAAAAUAUGUGUAUUCCCUUCGUUCUCUAACGCCUGUUUGAAAAUGAUCACUAAUAGUUCUGAAUGAACUCAUUUAGCUGCUGAAUAUCCCAGCAGGGUUUUUUUUUCUUUUUUCUUUCUUUCUUUUUUUUUUUUAAGCCAGAUAUAAUUUGAAUAUCAUUUGAUAUAUGAAUCCUUAGACAAGAACAUAGCUGUACAUAUGAACUCAUGUCAAAUAUAUUUGUACAUAUAAAAUGUGUGUGCGUAAGCAAUAAAUGUAGAUUGUUUACUCUGGUGUAUAUCGUAAAAAGCUGAAGAUUAUUAAAUUAGAAUGGCUACAUUAUGCUAAUUUAUUAUUUAUUAUCAGCCUACUAGAACAUUUUACUGCCGAAUGUACUAUUUUGCAGACAUACUAGUAUGGUAAUGCACUAGUGUUUAAAUAAUUUCAACAAUAGAAUU